rnacentral:rRNA from 1 species
UGGUGGAGUGAUUUGUCUGGUUUAUUCCGAUAACGAACGAGACUCUAGCCUACUAACUAGUUAUGCGAUCUUCUUGUCGUAUUAACUUCUUAGAGGGACAAGCGGUGCUCAGCCGCAUGAAAAAGAGCAAUAACA